CCUAAUAACAUAGAAAUACUUAUUGGAUUAUACCUUCGAUGUCAUUCUGUGAUUUAUUUUAGUAUGUUAAUACCCCUCAUGAUGUUUAUUUUUUGCGAAUGUGUGCAUUUGGCCGGAAAACAAUCUGACAUUCCACCUUGAGAUGUUAUUUGAGAGUUGUUCCGUCCUUAAAUGUAAAGCAAGGAUUUAAAACAGUGUGAGAAAAGGUUAACAUUGUCGCCUAUGGGAAAUGUAUUGGUGGACUGUAUACCCCAUAUAUAUUGAGUACGUCUAUUGGUUCAUGGUGAUACAGGAAAACUUCAAGGUUCCUGCAGAUGGUGUUUAAAACUAUUGGCCAGUGAACACAAACCCAUUUAAUUAUAUUUUGAACCUUCACCAGGAGAAAAAAGAUGGCAGUACUUCUAAUGCAAGCAGCUACUAGGGAAGAUUUAAUGAAGGAAGAUGAGGAAGUGGAGAAAAAGCUGAAGAACAAGGAGGACAAGGGCACAGUGACUUGCAGUGUGUGUCAUGUAACAUUAUUACAACAUCUAUAUCAUGGGUCCAUAAUUUUGAGUAAGUCAUUCAUCAACCACUUUAUCUGUACUGGAAACCAUUUCUGAGAGGGAUGAAGUGAUGGAAGAUAAUGAGCCAGAGGGUGGAACGGAAGAGAAAGGGAAAGAAAUAAAGAAAAAGGCAGAAUGAAAAAGGACUAGAACUUGCAAUAGAAGAAAAAGUUGAGGAAAUGAAGAGGAAGAAAUUGAAGAUGAAAAGAAGAGCUCUGGGAGGAAAAAAUUCCAUUUGUAAGAUGUGUGGACAAAAGAAAAACAGCCAUAGAGUGCCAAUGUGGAGUGGAAUAAGUCAGUAUGACUUAAACAUGGUCAAUUGAAGUGUUUGAAUGCCCCUCCAGAAAGCAGAACAAUCUUUGAAUUUGCAGGAAAGAGUAUAAAAUUUGCUGUUAAAAUAUCAUAACAGCUAGACAAAGAUUAAAUAACAACUACAUGUACAUCUAAAGAAUUCUUUUGUCAUAAUAGUGAUUCAUGUGCUAACACAUGUGACAAGUGCUAUAACGACCUAAUAUAAGUGUGUUUUAGGAGCAUGUUGACUCUAUUGUAAAUGUAUUGACUCCUUAUAUGACCUCAUUUAUAUAUAACAUUAUAUGAAUGGUAGUGUAGUGACUUGAAAUGUGUGUUAGUAGUAUAGCUCAUUAUGUGUGGUAAUUUUGUUAUUUGUUUUACAUGUAUGAUAGUACAUAUAGUAUGGUGACUCAUGUGUUGGGAAUUAAUGUAUAAUUUUAUGUGUGUUACUGGUAUAACUCAUAAUGUGUGUAAAUAUUGUUUUUUGUAAUAUAUAUUAGUAGUGUAGUGACUCGAAAUGUGUGUAAGUAGUGUAGUGACUCGACAUGUGUGUUAUGAGUGUAGCUUAUGAUGUGUGGUUAUUUUGUGUACGUAUGUAGUAUGGUGACUCAUGUGUUAGGAAUGUAUAAUUUUAUGUAUGUUACUGAUAUGCCUCAUCGAGUGAUUUAAAAUGGUUAUUUGUAAUGUAUAUAUUAGUAGUAAAGUGACUCGACAUGUGUGUUAGUAGUGU